rnacentral:tRNA from 1 species
GGAUUUGUAGCUCAGCUGGCAGAGCAGGUGACUCUUAAUCACAAGGUCCGGGGUUCGAUCCCCCGCAGAUCCACCA